rnacentral:lncRNA from 1 species
ACCAUGUGUUAUUACUGUGUAAUGUACAUUCCUUAAGAAUCUUUCUAUUUUAAUUUCUGCUUCCCGUCGUUUGAUAAUUUCCAAUCUUGCAGUCUACGGUAUGUUUGAAGCAACUUGCUUAUGGAUUACUAGAACUACUGCUACUAUCGGUCUUUCCCGAGCUGCGUGAAGUUGUGCUGGAUAUCCACAAGACGAUGCAUGUCGAACCUGUAUAGAACGGAUUUGUGCCUUUUCCUCUCUGUUUCGAACUUUUCAAGAAAUUGCAACAUCAGCAAAAAUGAGUUGCAACUUCUUCUAUGGCCUUUUCGUGAACGAUCAGAUUCUUACGGUACAAAAAAUGUAUGUUGGAAUCUUUGUAAAUGUCAUUUUUCCCCCUCUUUUGUGUGAAUAUUUCGCAUCUGUUCUGGACAGAAGUUCUGUACUUAUAUUUUUACCAAAUAUUCUAAAUUGUUGCGUUUGCUAUGCUAGAGUAGUAAAAAUGAAAUAUCGAAAUACCUUUAGCGACAUUUUUUGGGCUGUGUUUUUGCCACUAAUUCAAACUCGUUCGCUAGAAUUUUUGGUUGACCUGCGAAGUAAUGAGUUUUCGAAGUUUUUUUUCCAUGUUAUUAUUGUUUAUAGUUUGAGUUGGUCUUACUUAAAAAAAAAAAAAAAAAAAGGUUGAACCCCAACCUUAAGGGCCCCCAACGAUCCUGUCCUGGGUCAUCGUGGAGGAGGUAAAUCGCAGGAUGUGCCUCACAGGAGUCAGGGUGGAGAGCACAUGGAUAGGCCAAAGCUGUUAACCUAUAUGGUAACUCCUGCUUGCAACAAAGUCAAUUCCACCUUGCGGGGAAUCGAACUCUGCACACUGCCGCGCUGAGCCCUAUCCGCCUCCCCUUUGCCACUGGUCUUACUUUUUCAUACAUAGGAUUGUGGCAAGCAAGAGAAACUAAAGUUAGUGUUAGGGUGCAGGGUGAAGGCCCCCUUAUGAGGAGAAAAAUUAUCGAUUAUUAUUAUUUUUUUUUAUCUCAUUUUGGUCAAUUUAUAUCUACAUUAACGAUCCAAAAUUGUCAAAUCGGGAAAAAGAAAGCCGUAAUUUAAAAUAUCAGUUUGUGUCGUCCACAUGGAAAAAGCUUGGUAAUAGAUCGAUCGUUCCAGGCUUGAUCACUAUGACCCACAGGCCACAGGAUUGAUAAACAAAGUUUGAAUCAAAUUAAAAUAAUGAGUUUUGCUAUUUGUAUACCCUCUUUUGACAUAUAGGUGGACAUAUUAGACAAAAGAAAAGAAAAAAAAAAUCAGUUUAACCUAUAAGUAAAAGGAUAAACCUACUUGUACAUAAUUUGUUGUACAUUAAGAUAUUCAUACACUCAUAUGGAGUGUGGAUCACUCGAAUAAAAUGUUCGAUGGACCCCACUCCAUAUGAGUGUGAGGAAGCCUUGAUUUACAAAAAAAUUGGAAUAAAUCUAUUAGUACAUAAUUUUGGAUAACCCAAAAUUUUAUCCAAAAUUACGUAGCCCAAGCACAAUCUAAAAAUUAGGAUAAAGAUAUUUGCACAAAAUUUUGUUGACAAAAUGGUGUAUUCACUCUCACAAAAUUAGUGGACCCCACGUGCAUUUACAAAAUGUCGGCUUGUGGUCCUCAUCCUCAUUGUGAGCGGUGAGUAAAGGAAUUUAUGAAAAAAGUUUGUAUAUGUAGCAUGAUUCCAAAAAUUAUGUACACCAAGUAAAGUUAUAUGUAAAAUUGCCUGUGCAUGUAUAGUAGCUCUUAAUGCAUUUGACCUGUUAACGCAUCCUAUUUAGAUACAGGAUGAGAACUGCCAAUUUAGUUGUCUAAGCGGAUCGUUAUAGACCUCUCUCCAAAGCCCUCCCCGACCCAACGAAGAGGAUUAUAUACAGCUAAAUAAUUAAUUCUUGCAAAUAGUUGUCAAGUUGUCCCCCCAUUCAAUAAACAAAAAAUGUAUAUUGGAAUCUCUGUAGGUGUCAUUUUUCCCCCUUUCUUGUGUAAAUAUUUCGCAGGUGUUCUGGACAGAAGUUCUAUAAUUAUUUUUACCAAAUAUUCUAAAUUGUUACCUCUGCUAUGCUAGAUUGGUAAAAAGGAAAUAUCGAAAUACCUUUAGCGACA